rnacentral:tRNA from 1 species
GCCUGGAUGGCUCAGUGGUUGAGCGCCUGCCUUUGGCUCAGGGCGUGAUCCUGGAGUCUCAGGAUCGAGUCCUGCAUUGGGCU